GAUGAACGCUGGCGGCGUGCCUAAUACAUGCAAGUCGAGCGAACAGAUGAGGAGCUUGCUCCUCUGACGUUAGCGGCGGACGGGUGAGUAACACGUGGAUAACCUACCUAUAAGACUGGGAUAACUUCGGGAAACCGGAGCUAAUACCGGAUAAUAUAUUGAACCGCAUGGUUCAAUAGUGAAAGACGGUUUUGCUGUCACUUAUAGAUUGAUCCGCGCCGCAUUAGCUAGUUGGUAAGGUAACGGCUUACCAAGGCAACGAUGCGUAGCCGACCUGAGAGGGUGAUCGGCCACACUGGACCUGAGACACGGUCCAGACUCCUACGGGAGGCAGCAGUAGGGAACCUUCCGCAAUGGGCGAAAGCCUGACGGAGCAACGCCGCGUGAGUGAUGAAGGUCUUCGGAUCGUAAAACUCUGUUAUUAGGGAAGAACAAAUGUGUAAGUAACUAUGCACGUCUUGACGGUACCUAAUCAGAAAGCCACGGCGAACUACGU
rnacentral:rRNA from 1 species